rnacentral:rRNA from 1 species
UACGGGGGGGGCAAGCGUUGUUCGGAAUUACUGGGCGUAAAGGGCUCGUAGGCGGCCAACUAAGUCAGACGUGAAAUCCCUCGGCUUAACCGGGGAACUGCGUCUGAUACUGGAUGGCUUGAGUUCGGGAGAGGGAUGCGGAAUUCCAGGUGUAGCGGUGAAAUGCGUAGAUAUCUGGAGGAACACCGGUGGCGAAGGCGGCAUCCUGGACCGACACUGAUGCUGAGGAGCGAAAGCCAGGGGAGCAAACGGG